CCUACGGGUGGCAGCAGUGAGGAAUAUUGGUCAAUGGCCGGAAGUCUGAACCAGCCAUGUCGCGUGCAGGAAGACGGCCCUACGAGUUGUAAACCUCUUUUGUACAAGGGUAAGCCUCAAUUCGUGUAUUCCUCUGAAAGUACCUGACGAAUAAGGAUCGGCUAACUCCGUGCCAGCAGCCGCGGUAAUACGGAGGAUCCCAGCGUUAUCCGGAUUUAUUGGGUUUAAAGGGUGCGUAGGCGGAUGGAUAAGUUAGAGGUGAAAUGUCCGAGCUUAACUCGGGAACUGCCUCUAAUACUGUUGAUCUAGAGAGCAGGAGGGGUAGGCGGAAUGUAUGGUGUAGCGGUGAAAUGCUUAGAGAUCAUGCAGAACACCGAUUGCGAAGGCAGCCUACCAAUCUAUAUCUGACGUUGAGGCACGAAAGCGUGGGGAGCAAACAGGAUUAGAUACCCCUGUAGUC
rnacentral:rRNA from 1 species